AGAACGUCGUGAGACAGUUCGGUCCCUAUCCGGCGCGGGCGUAGGAGAUCUGAGAGGAGCUGUCCUUAGUACGAGAGGACCGGGAUGGACGAACCUCCAGUGUACCUGUUGGGGAUCAACCCCAUGGCAGGGUAGCUGUGUUUGGAAGGGAUAAACGCUGAAGGCAUCUAAGCGUGAAGCCCCCCUCAAGAUGAGAUCUCCCACUCCUAUAUGGAGGUAAGACCCCUUAAAGAGUAUGAGGUUGAUAGGGCAGAGGUGUAAGUGUGGCAACACAUUCAGCUGACUGUUACUAAUAGGUCGAGGGCUUAUCCGC
rnacentral:rRNA from 1 species